rnacentral:rRNA from 1 species
ACGCCGCGUGAGUGAAGAAGGGUUUCGGCUCGUAAAGCUCUGUUGUUGGUGAAGAAAGAUAGAGGUAGUAACUGGCCUUUAUUUGACGGUAAUCACCCAGAAAGUCACGGCUAACUACGUGCCAGCAGCCGCGGUAAUACGUAGGUGGCAAGCGUUGUCCGGAUUUAUUGGGCGUAAAGCGAGUGCAGGCGGUUCAAUAAGUCUGAUGUGAAAGCCUUCGGCUUAACCGGAGAAUUGCAUCGGAAACUGUGGAACUUGAGUGCAGAAGAGGAGAGUGGAACUCCAUGUGUAG